GGAUCAAUCCUUGAGCAUGAGGGAUACCUUGCAAUUCCACGUGCUUUUCUGAAAAGCAUUACUCCGUAACCCUAUUAUAGUUGUACCGCUCUUCCUCAGGUUAAUAGAUUUGGGUUUUUGGUUAAUCCACAAUGCAUAUGUCACACUUUCCUUUCACCAAUGAUAUCUGCUCAAUUCUUCCUUGAAGACGACUGGGCUUUCAAAGUUCAAAUAUAAGCUAAGCUGUUCUUAUAUGGUGCAGGUUGCUUAUCCUCUUCCACACCGUGUUUGGUCUGCUGCUUUGGCAGAUCUGAAACACACUCCCUCCUCAAAUAGCUUCAGUUUCAGUUUCAGUGCUAAUAGACUUAAUGAUUUCAUGAUUUCACAAAGUAGAAUAUUAAUAAUGCUGACCCACAGGUGAUCCUAAUGCAGCCCAGCAAAUUACCUUUAUAUCUUCACUUAGAAUGUGAUGUAAAGGUUCGGUCAAAGACUAAAUAAUUGGAUCUCCAAUGAGUAAAAAGAUAAAAGACAAGAAAGAGAGCAGUAGUAGGGGCAUGGUGGUCAACAUGGGCAAAAUGUGAUGGCUGAUGAACUUGCAGUAAAUAGUUUGGCAGAAGGCUUGUGCCUGAAGCUAUUUCUCGGUGGCAAGGGAGACUCACUGGUCAUUGGGAUGCACAUUGCCUAGUUGACGCAAUCCAUUGAUGGUUGAAACCCGUGAAGAAGUCCAUGGACCAGGUGACAGAUUGUUGGGCCGCCUGUGAAUGGAAGCCCUGCAGCUUCGUGGGUGAGCGGAACGGCGUCGGCGGUAAACAGUUUUCGUCUGGCGACAUCUGGUCCGUGUGCCGGCUGCCGUGAAGGUCUUCAAAGCUCGUCCGGAAGCCCGCUUCAAAAGGGACUGGUUAAGAAGGCACUGGAGUUCUCCGUGUUCUGCGAAGCUUUUGUUCCUCCCAUCGUCUUCUCAGCCAACGAAAAGCUUUCAGAUUUUCACCAACUGCAGGUAUUUGGCAGUUAGGUGGUAUUGCAGACUUGAAAGCUAGAGACUAAAUUGUGACGGUGAGCUUGCAAGGUUAGGCAUCUUCAAGUGGAUUGUCACUGGCCUUUUAUCAGUUUCCAGAUAUCCUUUCCUUGUUCUGCAUGGGUUCUUGCAGUUGCACAGGCCAUUAAAUUUUCGGAGUUGAGAUUAGGAUCUAGACAACAAGGCACAAGAAAAUCCUUGAGCAUUAGGGAUACCUUGCAAUUUUACGUGCUUUUCUGAAAAGCAUUACUCAGUAACCCUAUUAUAGUUGUACUGCUCUUCCUCAGGUUAAUAGAUUUGGGUUUUUGGUUAAUCCACAAUGCAUAUGUCACACUUUCGUUUCACCAAUGAUAUCUGCUCAAUUGUUCCUUGAAGACUGGGCUUUCAAAGUUCAAAUAUAAGCUAAGCUGUUCUUAUAUGGUGCAGGUUGCUUAUCCUCUUCCACACCGUGUUUGGUCUGCUGCUUUGGCAGAUCUGAAACACACUCCCUCCUCAAAUAGCUUCAGUUUCAGUUUCAGUGCUAAUAGACUUAAUGAUUUCAUGAUUUCACAUAGUCGAAUACUAAUAAUGCUGACCCACAGGUGAUCCUAAUGCAGCCCAGCAAAUUACCUUUAUAUCUUCACUUAGAAUGUGAUAUAAAGGUUUGUUCAAAGUGUAAAUAAUUGGAUCUCCAAUGAGUAAAAAGAUAAGGACAAGAAAGAGAGCAGUAGUACGGGCAUGGUGGUGUUCUACAUCUUAUGGUGCUCUGUAGCAACAUGGGCAAAAUGUGAUGGCUGAUAAACUUGCAGUAAAUAGUUUGGCAGAAGGCUUGUGCCUGGGAAGGUGAGCAAGCUGUUUCUCGGCGGCAAGGGAGACUUACUGGUCAUUGGGAUGCACAUUACCUAGUUGACGCAACCCGUGAAGAAGUCCAUCGACCAGGUGACAGAUUGUAGGGCGUCCUGUGAAUGGAAGGUCAGUGGUUUAUUAUAUCAGGAUCAGUAGCAUGGUUUUAUUUUGAAAUAAUAGAUUUGAUGUUCAGUUGCACCUCCAGCAUGACUUUUUUAUUUUUUGCUGUAUUAUAGCAGAGUGCCUAGUAAAGAAUGCUUGUGACACAGGACUAUGGACAUGCCUUGGAAUGCCCAAUUUAACCAAUAGGCAUACAUACAUCAUGAAUAUCCAAGCAUGCAUACAUUAUGAAUCCCCAAAUUAUGCUGGAGGUUUUCACAUUGAAGUACAGGCAAGCCACAGUUGUGGUUGGCCUUUUAAACGGGACAGAGUUAGGAGUCUUUUUGGGAAAUUCUUUGGUGUUGCUUAUGACAAAAUACAGAAGCUGCUGGGCGUUUAAUCCCCAAGAGACUGAUCUAGUAGUGUUUAUAUAUAUAUGGUUGAAGGACCUCAAUGGAAACCACCACAAACAUUGAUAGUCUGGCGAGGGAGAACCCUAAUUGGGGAUUAGGGCUGAGCAUGCGUAGUAGUGGCUAACAACUGGUAUCAUAGCAUACCAGGGCAGUGUUGAUCGAUUCCAGCCGAAAGGUAGCCGGAUGUCUCAGUUGAUCAUCCACGUGCCGCUUCAGCCAUAAUAUGAAAUUCCUCAUGGCUAUUUGCUACUGCAAAUUGGGACUGAGCUGUAUGGCCAUGCCCUCGCGAGUUUUGGGCUAUGGCUCCUGUGGCAGCUCUUCCUCUUCCACUUGAAUUUCAUCAGGUACGUCCCCUACAAUUGUGGUUGUUCAAUAUUAUAAUCUAAGGGCCAAAUCUAACCAUUACAGCAUCAAUAGACUGCUGCCACCUUGGUCAAGAGAGAAACUACUUAAAACAUCUAAUUUUCGGUUCUUCCAAAUGCACUACAGUUUGGCAAACUAAAAUUCCCUGGCAGUUAUGCUCAGCUCCAAAGAUCCUGCUAAGUGAAAUACCUCCUUAGGCGUCUUAAUGUAGGGUAUGUUUUCCAGUAUGGCUAAGAGAUGUAGUUGGCUGAAGAUUUUAGAAGGCUAGACAAUGGCAAUUGGUGGUUUGGUGUAGUUUCAGGGAGUGUUGGAAGUCGACUGCAAUUCCCCGGAUGGGCCCCAGGUGCUGCCAAACCGUAGCAUACAAGUCAAGCAACAAUGUAAAACCUUCCAUCACCUAGAGAUUAGUAUCGUAGAUCAGUGCCUCAGUGACCAAGUGACCAGAUGACUGAAGUUAA